rnacentral:rRNA from 1 species
UACGUAGGGGGCGAGCGUUGUCCGGAUUCAUUGGGCGUAAAGCGCGCGUAGGCGGCUUGGCAAGUCGGCCGUGAAAUCUCCGGGCUCAACUCGGAGGGGUCGGGCGAGACUGCCAGGCUCGAGGUGGGCAGAGGGCAGUGGAAUUCCGGGUGUAGUGGUGGAAUGCGUAGAGAUCCGGAGGAACACCAGUGGCGAAGGCGGCUGCCUGGGCCUGGCCUGACGCCGAGGCGCGAAAGCGUGGGGAGCGAGCCGG